rnacentral:rRNA from 1 species
GAUGAACGCUGGCGGCGUGCCUAAUACAUGCAAGUCGAGCGAACAGACGAGGAGCUUGCUCCUUCGACGUUAGCGGCGGACGGGUGAGUAACACGUAGGUAACCUACCUAUAAGACUGGGAUAACUUCGGGAAACCGGAGCUAAUACCGGAUAAUAUUUCGAACCGCAUGGUUCGAUAGUGAAAGAUGGCUUUGCUAUCACUUAUAGAUGGACCUGCGCCGUAUUAGCUAGUUGGUAAGGUAACGGCUUACCAAGGCAACGAUACGUAGCCGACCUGAGAGGGUGAUCGGCCACACCGGAACUGAGACACGGUCCAGACUCCUACGGGAGGCAGCAGUAGGGAAUCUUCCGCAAUGGGCGAAAGCCUGACGGAGCAACGCCGCGUGAGUGAUGAAGGUCUUCGGAUCGUAAAACUCUGUUAUUAGGGAAGAACAAACGUGUAAGUAACUGUGCACGUCUUGACGGUACCUAAUCAGAAAGCCACGGCUAACUACGUG